GUGGGGAGAUCCUGGUUCUGCAGCACUCUCUGCUCUCCAGAAUGGGUGUAGCCAGGUGAAAGGUUCUGGUUUCCGCAUUUUCCUCAAUCAUCUCAGUCCCCUGAAAGGACAGAAUAGCUUAGACUGCUUCCUUGUGACUGAAAUCCAAGGAUCAGGAGUUAGUGUCCUCACCGAAGUCCCACAGCAGAACUGAACUUCAGGAAAGCAAGUCCUGGGCACACGAGCCAUGCCAGAGGCACAUGAAGGAAACGCUGGUCUGGCACCAGGGCAAGGACUGAUAGAAAAAAGAGCCUGGAAGUAAGAUUUAGCUGAGUAAGUGAAAAGAAAGAGCCAAAUUUUAACAGAAGUAUGUGGAGAAAUCAAGCUUGUAUCUUGCAGAGAAUGAAAGCAGACUGCUUUCUCAGUCUCAGCCAGGUGUGAGGAAACAUGUUCAGCCUAACAAAGGUUUUGCUGCUCCCGGCUGUUCAACCAUUUCCUAAAAGUCUCCCAGAUGUAAACGACGUGAAUGUUUCACCACUAAUUCAGGUGGCAAAAAACUUGAGAAUGAAGGCUAAGAUUAAAGGAAUAGGUAUGUGCCACAUGUCCUUCCGUGCCUUACUGUCCCAUCUCCAAGCCUCUGGAUUGCAGAGUGUCGUAGACUGUGAAUGUCAAGCCUCUUGAAGUAUUCGAGGUGUUCCUGUUCUACUGAUCUGGAUCAGACACAUUACAUGGAAAGAGAAAUCACACCCAGAGGUGAUCUGUCAUCCACUUGAGGGAAGCCUGACAAAUAAUUUUUGUGAUUCAGUACUAGGAAAGCAUUCUAAGUUUUAUUUUACUUUCAUAUCUAAUGUGACAUUUAAUAGGAGCUAAAUAAUUACCCAUGCUUAAUGUUCCACAUAAUGUGACAAGAUGGUUUUUAAAACAUAGGGAUAAUUAUUUUUUUUUCAACAGAAGUAGACACAAGUGUUGACUGUGAAGAGGAAGAUAGUGGAACAAGGCCAUGUUCUCAUUGCUACUAGAUGUGUAGUUAGAACAGAAGUGUUUGUGUACUUAUUUCAGGGCCCAUGCUGCACGGCUCUCCCCUCCUGGCAG